rnacentral:rRNA from 1 species
GGUUAAGCGACUAAGCGUACACGGUGGAUGCCCUGGCAGUCAGAGGCGAUGAAGGACGUGCUAAUCUGCGAAAAGCGUCGGUAAGGUGAUAUGAACCGUUACAGCCGGCGAUGUCCGAAUGGGGAAACCCAGUGCAAUUCGUUGCACUAUCGUUAACUGAAUACAUAGGUUAACGAGGCGAACCGGGGGAACUGAAACAUCUAAGUACCCCGAGGAAAAGAAAUCAACCGAGAUUCCCCCAGUAGCGGCGAGCGAACGGGGAGCAGCCCAGAGUCUGAAUCAGCUUGUGUGUUAGUGGAACGGUCUGGAAAGUCCGACGGUACAGGGUGAUAGUCCCGUACACCAAAAUGCACAGGUUGUGAACUCGAAGAGUAGGGCGGGACACGUGGUAUCCUGUCUGAAUAUGGGGGGACCAUCCUCCAAGGCUAAAUACUCCUGACUGACCGAUAGUGAACCAGUACCGUGAGGGAAAGGCGAAAAGAACCCCGGCGAGGGGAGUGAAAAAGAACCUGAAACCGUGUACGUACAAGCAGUGGGAGCACCUUCGGGUGUGACUGCGUACCUUUUGUAUAAUGGGUCAGCGACUUAUAUUCUGUAGCAAGGUUAACCGUAUAGGGGAGCCGCAGGGAAACCGAGUCUUAACUGGGCGUUAAGUUGCAGGGUAUAGACCCGAAACCCGGUGAUCUAGCCAUGGGCAGGUUGAAGGUUGGGUAACACUAACUGGAGGACCGAACCGACUAAUGUUGAAAAAUUAGCGGAUGACUUGUGGCUGGGGGUGAAAGGCCAAUCAAACCGGGAGAUAGCUGGUUCUCCCCGAAAGCUAUUUAGGUAGCGCCUCGUGAACUCAUCUUCGGGGGUAGAGCACUGUUUCGGCUAGGGGGUCAUCCCGACUUACCAACCCGAUGCAAACUACGAAUACCGAAGAAUGUUAUCACGGGAGACACACGGCGGGUGCUAACGUCCGUCGUGAAGAGGGAAACAACCCAGACCGCCAGCUAAGGUCCCAAAGUCAUGGUUAAGUGGGAAACGAUGUGGGAAGGCACAGACAGCCAGGAUGUUGGCUUAGAAGCAGCCAUCAUUUAAAGAAAGCGUAAUAGCUCACUGGUCGAGUCGGCCUGCGCGGAAGAUGUAACGGGGCUAAACCAUGCACCGAAGCUGCGGCAGCGACACUAUGUGUUGUUGGGUAGGGGAGCGUUCUGUAAGCCUGCGAAGGUGUGCUGUGAGGCAUGCUGGAGGUAUCAGAAGUGCGAAUGCUGACAUAAGUAACGAUAAAGCGGGUGAAAAGCCCGCUCGCCGGAAGACCAAGGGUUCCUGUCCAACGUUAAUCGGGGCAGGGUGAGUCGACCCCUAAGGCGAGGCCGAAAGGCGUAGUCGAUGGGAAACAGGUUAAUAUUCCUGUACUUGGUGUUACUGCGAAGGGGGGACGGAGAAGGCUAUGUUAGCCGGGCGACGGUUGUCCCGGUUUAAGCAUGUAGGCUGGUUGUCCAGGCAAAUCCGGAUAAUCAAGGCUGAGGUGUGAUGACGAGGCACUACGGUGCUGAAGUAACAAAUGCCCUGCUUCCAGGAAAAGCCUCUAAGCAUCAGGUAACAUCAAAUCGUACCCCAAACCGACACAGGUGGUCAGGUAGAGAAUACCAAGGCGCUUGAGAGAACUCGGGUGAAGGAACUAGGCAAAAUGGUGCCGUAACUUCGGGAGAAGGCACGCUGGUGUGUAGGUGAAGCCCCUGCGGGUGGAGCUGAGACCAGUCGAAGAUACCAGCUGGCUGCAACUGUUUAUUAAAAACACAGCACUGUGCAAACACGAAAGUGGACGUAUACGGUGUGACGCCUGCCCGGUGCCGGAAGGUUAAUUGAUGGGGUUAUCCGUAAGGAGAAGCUCUUGAUCGAAGCCCCGGUAAACGGCGGCCGUAACUAUAACGGUCCUAAGGUAGCGAAAUUCCUUGUCGGGUAAGUUCCGACCUGCACGAAUGGCGUAAUGAUGGCCAGGCUGUCUCCACCCGAGACUCAGUGAAAUUGAACUCGCUGUGAAGAUGCAGUGUACCCGCGGCAAGACGGAAAGACCCCGUGAACCUUUACUAUAGCUUGACACUGAACAUUGAGCCUUGAUGUGUAGGAUAGGUGGGAGGCUUUGAAGCGUGGACGCCAGUCUGCGUGGAGCCAACCUUGAAAUACCACCCUUUAAUGUUUGAUGUUCUAACGUUGGCCCCUGACCGGGGUUGCGGACAGUGUCUGGUGGGUAGUUUGACUGGGGCGGUCUCCUCCCAAAGCGUAACGGAGGAGCACGAAGGUUAGCUAAUCCUGGUCGGACAUCAGGAGGUUAGUGCAAUGGCAUAAGCUAGCUUGACUGCGAGCGUGACGGCGCGAGCAGGUGCGAAAGCAGGUCAUAGUGAUCCGGUGGUUCUGAAUGGAAGGGCCAUCGCUCAACGGAUAAAAGGUACUCCGGGGAUAACAGGCUGAUACCGCCCAAGAGUUCAUAUCGACGGCGGUGUUUGGCACCUCGAUGUCGGCUCAUCACAUCCUGGGGCUGAAGUAGGUCCCAAGGGUAUGGCUGUUCGCCAUUUAAAGUGGUACGCGAGCUGGGUUUAGAACGUCGUGAGACAGUUCGGUCCCUAUCUGCCGUGGGCGCUGGAGAAUUGAGGGGGGCUGCUCCUAGUACGAGAGGACCGGAGUGGACGCAUCACUGGUGUUCGGGUUGUCAUGCCAAUGGCACUGCCCGGUAGCUAAAUGCGGAAGAGAUAAGUGCUGAAAGCAUCUAAGCACGAAACUUGCCCCGAGAUGAGUUCUCCCUGAGACUUUAAGUCUCCUGAAGGAACGUUGAAGACGACGACGUUGAUAGGCCGGGUGUGUAAGCGCAGCGAUGCGUUGAGCUAACCGGUACUAAUGAACCGUGAGGCUUAACCUU